UGUGUAGGCGGUUGCUUAAGUUUGGUGUGAAAUCUCCCGGCUCAACUGGGAGGGUGCGCCGAAUACUGAGUGACUCGAGUGCGGGAGAGGAAAGUGGAAUUCCUGGUGUAGCGGUGAAAUGCGUAGAUAUCAGGAGGAACACCGGUGGUGUAGACGGCUUUCUGGACCGUAACUGACGCUGAAACACGAAAGCGUGGGUAGCAAACAGGAUUAGAUACCCUGGUAGUCCACGCCCUAAACGAUGCACAUUUGGUGUGAGUCAUUCAGUUGAUUCGUGCCGGAGCUAACGCGUUAAAUGUGCCGCCUGGGGAGUACAGUCGCAAGGCUGAA
rnacentral:rRNA from 1 species